rnacentral:rRNA from 1 species
GACGAACGCUGGCGGCGUGCUUAACACAUGCAAGUCGAACGGAAAGGCCCUGCUUUUGUGGGGUGCUCGAGUGGCGAACGGGUGAGUAACACGUGAGUAACCUGCCCUUGACUUUGGGAUAACUUCAGGGAACUGGGGCUAAUACCGGAUAGGAGCUCCUGCUGCAUGGUGGGGGUUGGAAAGUUUCGGCGGUUGGGGAUGGACUCGCGGCUUUUCAGCGUGUUGGUGGGGUAGUGGCUUACCAAGGCUUUGACGGGUAGCCGGCCUGAGAGGGUGACCGGCCACAGUGGGACUGGGAUACGGCCCAGACUCCUACGGGAGGCAGCGGUGGGGAAUAUUGCACAAUGGGCGGAAGCCUUAUGCAGCAACGCCGGGUGCGGGAUGACGGCCUUCGGGUUGUAAACCGCUUUCGCCUGUGACGAAGCGUGAGUGACGGUAAUGGGUAAAGAAGCACCGGCUAACUACGUG